rnacentral:rRNA from 1 species
UAAGGAAUAUUGGUCAAUGGAGGCAACUCUGAACCAGCCAUGCCGCGUGAAGGAUUAAGGCCCUCUGGGUUGUAAACUUCUUUUAUAUGGGAAGAAAUGUUCUGAUUCUUCAGAGCUUGACGGUACCAUAGGAAUAAGCACCGGCUAACUCCGUGCCAGCAGCCGCGGUAAUACGGAGGGUGCAAGCGUUAUCCGGAUUCACUGGGUUUAAAGGGUGCGUAGGUGGGCAGAUAAGUCAGUGGUGAAAUCUCCGAGCUUAACUUGGAAACUGCCGUUGAUAAUAUAGGUCUUGAAUUAUCUGGAGGUAAGCGGAAUAUGUCAUGUAGCGGUGAAAUGCUUAGAUAUGACAUAGAACACCAAUUGCGAAGGCAGCUUACUACAUAUAAAUUGGCGCUGAGGCACGAAAGCGUGGGGAUCAAACA